rnacentral:tRNA from 1 species
GCUCAGUUAGUUAAGCAUCUGACUACUGGUUUCAACUCAGUUCAUGAUCUCAGGGUGUGAGAUCGAAUCCCACAUUGGGCU